rnacentral:lncRNA from 1 species
UUCCCAGGCUAGGGGUCGAAUCGGAGCUGUAGCCACUAGCCUAAGCCACAGCCACAGGAAUGCUGGAUCCUUAGGCCAUUGAGUGAGGCCAGGGAUCGAACUUGCGUCCUUAUAGAUACCAGCCAGAUUUAUUUCCUCUGAGCCAUUAUGGGAACUCCUGCUUAUCCAUUCUAAGUGUAACAGUUCAUUUGUCGACAGUUUCUAUGUUGGUAUGAUCCACAGCAGAAUGAGAGUAAGUUGAGAGAAAUUUUGUGAUUUAAGACAAGGCAUGCAGAGUUGGGCUUGGCUUUAAAAAAAAAAAAAAAAAAAGUCAAGUAGUUCCAGACCAAAAAUGUCAUCCAUUCAUACCUUUUGUUUCCUAUCGGCCAAUUCAAAUUUGGUAACAACUUAGAAUAAAACACAACCUUUGGGUAAGUGACCUCAGGUGGACUAAGGUUUUUGUAGAGCAAUGAAAACUCCAUAAAUGACUGCUUGGAAUAAAGGCCAAUUUGGUGGUUGGGAAUCACUGCCAUCUGCUCAUGCCUGCUGCCUUUGCAGCAUCUGGGGAACGUCCGUGGUGGAGCAAGAUCCGUUACAAGCCUCAAUGGAGUGACUCACCUCCUCUCCUGGGUAGAAAUAAAGGAUGGAGAAGGGAUACCUCCUUUUCUAAAUACAUGAAAAUAUUGAAGAAAAUGAGAAUAGGAAUCUUUCUUGACGUCAUUGAUAGCACCUAAAAACCAGGAAGGCUAACAAAAGGCUGGGAGGGGGUGGGAGAAUUUCUGUAAGGAUGGUUCCUUGCUGGGAAUGAGGAGGAGUCGCAGUUCUAAUCUUGGUUUCGGCCCACGAAUUGCUUGAGGAUAAGACACUGAAACCCUCCAGAGUUUUAAUUGCUCCAACUGUGAGUAGAGAAAGCUUAAUUAGGUGAGUACAAAUAGAGCAAAUACGUAACUCCUAUGAGAAAGUUCUGGAUGGUAAACGCCCACCAGGUAGACCGGUUUUCCCUCGGAGGACAAAGUUUAUCAAGCACCUACUUUGAGUCACGUUUGGGCCACAUCCCUUGCUUUACACAAACUGUGCAGGCCCCUGGAAUGAAGGCUGGAUCUUAGACAUACUUGAUUUUUCUCAGCACAGUGGUUGGCUUGGCCAUGCUGUUUGUUGAACUGAAUUGAUUUUGCAUAAAUUCUCAUACAAAUUAAGGGAAAACAAAUUUCUCUGCUGGUGGUGGAAGGGGAUGACGGUAGUAAUCACGCAAAGAAGGUCAAGAUUAGAUCCUUAUGAAAAGGGAGGGUUUUUUCUCCCCUCAUAAUAUGACUGAAUUUUCCUUCAUUUUAUUUUUACUUUUAAAGAAAACUCACUGAAGUGCAUUUGAUUUACAAUGGUGGUUCAUUUCUGCUGUACAGUGAAGUGAUUCGUUUUUAUAUAUAUUCAUUUUUGUAUUCUAUUCCAUUACUGUUAAUCUCAGGAUAUUGAAUAUAUUGCCCCGCGCUGUACAAUAGGACCCUGUUUAUCCAUACUAUUUAUAAUAGUUUGCAUCUGCUAACCCCAAACUCCCAGUCCAUCCUUCCCCUACCUACCCCCUCGGCAACUAUAAGUCUGUUCCCUCCAUGCAUGAGUCUGUUUUGUUGAUAAGCUCUUUUAUGCGGUAUUUUAAAUUCCACAUCUAAGAGAUAUCUAAUGGUUUUGUCUUUCUCUUUCUGACCAACUUCGCCAAGGAUGAUAAUCUCUAGGUUUAUCCGUGUUGCUGCAAAUGGCAGUAUUUCUGAAUUUCCUUUCAUUUUGAUUGCUUAUAGUGGGGUGUGAUAGCUGGCUGAAUCACCUGGCAAGGAAGUGACAUAAAAUUUCAACACUACAGCAUGGCAAUCUAAGACAGUUUCCUAAUGAGCUGAAUGAUGGCAACUCUGUGAAAUAUUUAGCAGGAAUUGUGACAAAUCCCAAUUCUUUUUACUGUAUCCUAGCACUUUCCUGGUCUCUUUGGCAGCCCAGCUGCAGAAGGAGAGGUUAAUUAACAAAUGCUUCAGGUGAUUCUGAUACCUGCUAACGUUUGGGAAGCCCUGUUCUUUGAUAUUUAACACUCUGAUGAGCCACUAUGGGUUAUUCUUAGGUCCACUUUGAUUUUGAAAAUAAAAGAUUCCAUUAUAUAUUAACUUGGAUAUCGAAACUUCAACACACCAAAAUCAAAUUUCUUAUAUUCCUAGCAGCUAGUACUUAACCUAAUGUGGGCCAUCAUUCAGGUGGGGCAAUUUCAGUCCACAUCAGUCAUUGUGGCCAGAGGACCUGCUUGGUAUAAAGCAGGGUGCUGGGUGCCAAGGGGUUUGGGGUGGGGGGUGGAACACGAAUGAGUAAGACUAGUUCAUUCCUUCCAGGGUCUCAGAAUAAAGUAGGGUAUUUAAAAACAUAAACACUUAGCAUAAAUACACAGCAUCUCAUAAGGGCCCUGGAGGAAUGCGAAGCCAGGGAGGGGACAGGGGUUGAGCUCAAAUAGAAACGCGUGGUGCUGUGGGAGGUGGGUGAGCCUGGCCAAGGCAAGUCCUUUUUCUGCGCCCCAGUUUCCUUGCUUCUAGAAUAAUCUGAGAUGAGGCUGGAACUGGGAUUUGGAAAUGCCCUUUGCUUUCUUGGAGGAGUUGGAGGAAGACAAAUUGGAGCAACUCUGUGUCUCUUCUGCUCAAACCAGAACAGCAACUUGUGUGUGUUUAUCAGCCCCCCCCCGUGUAAGUUUUUGUUUGGCGAGAGGAAAGAUUUCACAGCUGAAGACAAAAAUAACCCUGGGACUAGAUGAUGUCAGGUUUGCUUUAGCUUUGUGGUUCUGUGGCCUUUUCUUCUUCAUAAUGUUCCAGGAGGAUGCAUUAGUAGGAAGAGAUACCUUGAAUUAUUGCGGGCGUGGGGUGGGGUGGAAUUGUUAUGGACCUACAAGGUCUAAUAAUGUGCCUGUCAAACACAGCUUCUAUUUAUUACUCAAAGUGGGAUAUAAAAAUAGUGAAUUUCUGGAGUUC